rnacentral:lncRNA from 1 species
CCACAGGAUGGUUGCGCAUUGUCAUUUGCAGGGGGAAAGAGCUGGUAGGCUUCCGCUGGUGAGUAACAGUUGUCUCCAGUGAGUCGGGACCAGUCUGUUCUACCUUCAUAUCCACUCAACACACAGUACAGCAGUCAGCUCUUCCUAGUAUUAAAGCUCUGAGAAUGUUCAUGGGCCAUUUUGGAGGUCUUGACAGCCUCUUGGCUUUUAUUUACCUUCGUUUCCAGGAUUCUGAUAGUCUACAGAGGAAAAGGUAGCGACUUUUAAGGAAAAAAACCUGUUCUAGAGCUAUCAUUCUGCUACAUUUCAGUGUUUCCCGUGUACCUUGGUGGAUAAAGAUGCAGAGCAAGUGUUUUGAGAGCAUGAUGGAAGGUACAGGGCAAAGGAACAGAUGCCUAAUUCUCCAUCAUCCUCUGUAGUCUCCCAUCUCCUCUAAAUCGCAGAUCAGCUUCUUUUUUCCUUUCUCCUCUUUUUCUUUUACUCCCCAUAUAGAACCCUCUCUUGUGCUUUACCCUGUUUCACAUCACAUUUCUUUUUCUUCCAUUUCUCCCUCCUAGUCUCCUCUCUUCUUUCUGGCUGCUGCCAUCCCAUCAGCAUUCUUUUUCCCACAAAUCAAAGUCGCCUUAUGGACCCUCUUGUGUUCCUCCUGUGUACAGGUACAAAAGCCAUGAAGUCUGAGAUGCUGCAGAAACACUUCGUAGGAGACCGCUCCUCAGUGCAGGUCCCGGCCCCACAUCUGCAGUGCUCAGGAUGUGCUAACAAGCUGCGCCACUGCCGGGGGUGGGCAGGAGUGCCCAGUACUCUCCUGACUGAGAUGCCCUCUUCCCCAGGCACCUGCUCUGCUGCUGGCCAGUGGGCACCUGGUAUCUGCAACUUUUCCGCAGACAUGAGAGGGGAAAGCUUCUUCGCUUUCCCGGAGCUCACCUCCAGGUGUGACUAUGGAUAAUCAGUGAUCAUGAACAUGCCAGGAAGAUCUAUUACUAAGACCCACCUCAGGCCUCUUGCAGAAAUGCCACAGAGCAAGACGUGAUCUCUGACUUCAAUGAGAUAAACAGAUGAGACAUACAAACAGAAGACAAAAGUGGGUAAGUGGGUAGCUCGACAAAUGAUACAGUACUGCUUACCCAAAGUUACUUUUUAAAAUCAAAUAAUGCAAUAUUUAGAAGAGAGAGAGACAAUAUGGCAUGAUGACAAAAGUAAAGCUUUGGGGUGACAACUGGGGAUUAUCACCCAGUCACGUGUCUGCUCUCUGACCACGAGUAAAUUACUUUAUUUAUUUGAGCUCGCUCUCCACUUAGAGUGAAUGAAAAAUGCCCACUCCCUGUGAUUGUUAUGAGCAUGAGAAAACAGCAUACAGGUUCUUACUGAAAUGGUUGUUUUUUAUAUGUAUCUUAAUCUGCAGUGAAGUUAGUGCUUAGGGUGAGUUGACCUCUACUUUUAUUUUUUUCCAUAUGAGCACCCUAUUAUCUUUGUACCAUUUAUUAAAACAAAAAGUCCUUUGGUCUCUAGCACCAUCCCUGUCACAUAUCAAGUGUCCUGAGUCUGCUUCUAGCCUUUCUUUUCUCUUCCAUUGGUCUGUCGGUUUGUCCUUGAACCAAUUGCCUUUUAAAUGUGCUUUAUACGAUAUCUUUACAACCGGUAUGGCACUUCUGCUAUCUCAUUCUUCCUUAUAAUUUUCUUGGCUAUUUAUACACUUCACCUACAUUUCAGAAUCAAGAUCUGUAAGAAACCCUGUCAAGAUUUUGAUCAGAAUUACAUUAAUUGUAAAAAUGACUUUAGAGAGUAUUGAAACUUUAAGGACCUAAAAGAUGGGUAAGAUAUGAUAGGCAGAGGGUAAUGAGGUGUAAGGAGGGAGUCAGAGCAGAAGGAAUGGCAGGAUGCAGGAAAGCCCAGGGUAUAUUUUUGGUCCAUGGCGUGGUCUACCUUGACUGGUGAGUGAUGGAUACUAGAAGGGAAGUAUACAGAAGCCUUAGCUGUCAAGUGAAAUGUGAAUGCACAGAGAGAAGCCUGUGCCAACCCCAGAGCCCAGGGUGUCCUGUGACAGCUACCUGAUGAAAAUCAACUUCCUGUCCAACUUUGUGAAGUGACAAUGCAAUGAAGGUGUGUGUGAAGAAAGUUAGAGAGACAGAGGGAGUUUAGGCAGAUGUUAAUCAGGUACUAAGCCACGAAAGUGUUGCUCUCAAAUGGAUGUCCUUUUAUGCAACAUUAUUUAACCUGUGGCUACUAAAUCCAUCUGUAAACACUCUGUGGGUUUACGAGCUCAGAAAUAUACAUUCUCUUAUGAUUUACCCACAUGUACAAUUAACUUGACCAGGCUCAGCCAGAGGCACUUAUUAACAUCCCCAAAUGGAGUCUAUUCAUCCUGCUCCAAAUUGCUGGGGUAUACCAGUUGACUGCACAUUCAGUUUUCCUGUUGCUUUACUGCUGUGAUUUCCAGAGCCCAGAAAGCCACUUAGUCUUGCUAUUGUCAUGCAGUUCCCAUGCUGGUUGAAUCCCUAGCAAGGCUAUUUUAAAGGUCAGAUGGGUGUUAGAAUGUACAAUCCCGUGUUUGCUGAAGCACAACAUUUGUGAGCUAGGUGGAAGUUAGGGUUGGUCAUCCAUGCAGUCCAGUCCUCUUGUGCAGGAGGUAAGGAAGCAGGCUCAGAGAGGUGAAUUGACUGCCUCUCAGUGAAACAGAACAUUUGGGACAGAACUGGGACUGUAACUAAAAUCUCCUGGCUUCUGGUUUACUGCCUCAUCCAUGACAUUUGCCUUCUUAAAAAGUCUGUCAUCCUACUGAUUAUUCUCCUUGCUCUCUUUCAAAUAGACUGCUUGUUCUUUGUUUUCUAGUUCACUUUCAAAGCUCUGAUGGGUUUAAAGUGUUCCUUGGGUUGCAGUUGUAAUUAUAUAACUCAUCUUGCCCCCUAUGCACAGGUUGAGUGAAAACAGGGUCACAGAGCAACAGCAGUGCUCUAGCUCCUCAAGACCCACUCAGAUGUCUCUCAGAUUGUUCUUGGAGUCCACUGGGAAUGGUCUGCAGUGGGCUUCUCAGAUGAAACCCUUCACUACACCAGGACUCCUGCCAUUUUCCUCCUCUCUGUGUUGUGAUGAUACCACAAGUGAUGACCAGGCCAGCAAGGCUGAUGCCUUCCCCAAACAUGAUGGUUGCUGUGAAGGUGUCUAUCAGACCUGAUGUUGCUUCUGCCUGGGCCAAACGUGAUGGUACCACCUGAUGUCAACAUGAUCCACCAGUGCCAGCCCAUCCCCCUUCUCCCAUACCCACUCAGAUCUCAGCAUGAAUUUCUGAGUGGGGGUGGAGGAAACCUGAGUGUCACAGAUAGUGCUCUACGUAGAAUUGUGCUUCCCCUUGACCUUGGGUCAUUUUCACCGACCUGAACUUGUGUGCUGAGAUUUCUUUUAAGAACUUUUCUAGGUAGACUCUUGAGGGACCCAUCCAACCAGCCUUCCAAACUUGACAGAAUCCAAGUGUGGACCCACUUUAGACUCAGAUUGGGACCCCCUGAUACAUUUAACAAUGAAGAGAGUCCACAAUAGUAGAGAAUCUACAGAAUAUAGUCUUGACAAUAGUGGAAGAGUUGAGAGCAUAAACUCUGAAGUUAGACUACCCAUUGGCUCCCCUACUUGUAGCUGUGUGACCUUUGGUGAUUUAUUAAUCUUCUUUGAGUCUCACUGUACCUACUGAGGACACUUGUAAUCAAAUGAGAUAACUCAUAGAAGGUACUUGGUACAAUGUUUGGGAUCAACUCAGACUUCCAUAAUUGUUGAAUGAAUAAGUCGGACAUCUGGGGUUGAAAGUAUUGAAAAACAAACUUUUCUGGGUGUAUUUAAAUAAAUCUCAGAGACUCAUGGAGCA